CUGGGCACUAUUCUGCAAGUUCUUUUCAGCCUUCAUGUUCUUACGCCGCUUUUUGAAAGCUGGAAGAACAGCACAAGAAGUUGGAGAGACGCCCAAAGAAGUUGGAGCAGGGGGCAAGGAAGUUGGAGCAGCAACCAAGGAAGUUGGGGCAGUAGACAAAGAAGUUGGAGCAGCAGCCAACGAAGUUAUGGGAAGCUGGGGGGUUGCUUGAGAAGCUGGUUCCUCUUGCUUCCGUUUGAUAAAUUCAUGGUGUGGAGGAUGCAUUCCCAAAGAUGCCUCAGGUGCAGCAGCUAUU
rnacentral:lncRNA from 1 species